rnacentral:rRNA from 1 species
CUAGCCGUAAACGAUGGAUACUAGGCGUUGUGAGUAUCGACCCUCACAGUGUCGUAGCUAACGCGUUAAGUAUCCCGCCUGGGGAGUACGCGCGCAAGCGUGAAACUCAAAGGGAUUGACGAGGGCCCGCACAAGCGGUGGAGUAUGUGGUUUAAUUCGAUGCAACGCGAAGAACCUUACCAGGACUUGACAUGUCGCGAAUCUCAGGGAAACUUGAGAGUGCCUUCGGGAGCGCGAACACAGGUGGUGC